UACGUAGGGUGCGAGCGUUAAUCGGAAUUACUGGGCGUAAAGCGUGCGCAGGCGGUUUGUUAAGUCUGAUGUGAAAGCCCCGGGCUCAACCUGGGAAUGGCAUUGGAAACUGGCAAGCUUGAGUAUGGCAGAGGGGGGUUGAAUUCCGCGUGUAGCAGUGAAAUGCGUAGAGAUGCGGAGGAACACCGAUGGCGAAGGCAGCCCCCUGGGCCAAUACUGACGCUCAGGCACGAAAGCGUGGGAGCAAACAGG
rnacentral:rRNA from 1 species